rnacentral:rRNA from 2 species
GGAUGUGAUCAUACCAGCACUAAAGCACCGGAUCCCAUCAGAACUCCGAAGUUAAGCGUGCUUGGGCGAGGGUAGUACUAGGAUGGGUGACCUCCUGGGAAGUCCUCGUGUUGCAUUCC